rnacentral:rRNA from 1 species
CCUACGGGUGGCAGCAGUGAGGAAUAUUGGUCAAUGGGCGCGAGCCUGAACCAGCCAAGUCGCGUGAGGGAAGACGGUCCUAUGGAUUGUAAACCUCUUUUGUCGGGGAGCAAAAGACGCCACGCGUGGCGUUCCGAGAGUACCCGAAGAAAAAGCAUCGGCUAACUCCGUGCCAGCAGCCGCGGUAAUACGGAGGAUGCGAGCGUUAUCCGGAUUCAUUGGGUGAAAGGGGUGCGCAGGCGGAAGAUCAAGUCAGCGGUAAAAUUGAGAGGCUCAACCUCUUCGAGCCGUUGAAACUGGUUGUCUUGAGUGAGUGAGAAGUAUGCGGAAUGCGGGGUGUAGCGGUGAAAUGCAUAGAUAUCACGCAGAACUCCGAUUGCGAAGGCAGCAUACCGGCGCUCAACUGACGCUCAUGCACGAAAGUGUGGGUAUCGAACAGGAUUAGAUACCCGUGUAGUC